UUACGGCCAUAUCACCUUGAUACACCUGUUCUCACCCGAUCACCGAAGUUAAGCAACUUUGAACCUGGUUACUACCUAAAUGCGCGACAACUGGGGAAUAGCAGUUGCUGUAAG